GCCUCAAUGGUGUAGUGGUCAUCACGCCUGACUAGUAACCAGCGAGAUGUGGGUUCAAUUCCCGCUCGGGACA